rnacentral:rRNA from 1 species
ACUGCUCAGUAACACGUGGACAACCUACCCUCAGCACGGGGAUAAACCCGGGAAACUGGGUAUAAUACCCGAUAGUUCUGGGAUGCUGGAAUGCGUUCAGGACGAAAGCUCCGGCGACUGAGGAUGGGUCUGCGGCCUAUCAGGUAGUAGUGGGUGUAAUGUACCUACUAGCCUACGACGGGUACGGGUCGUGAGAGCGAGAGCCCGGAGAUGGAUUCUGAGACACGAAUCCAGGCCCUACGGGGUGCAGCAGGCGCGAAAACUUUACAAUGCUGGCAACAGCGAUAAGGGGACCUCGAGUGCCAGGAUACAAUCUUGGCUGUCGUAAUGCCUAAAAAGCAUUAUAUAGCAAGGGCCGGGCAAGACCGGUGCCAGCCGCCGCGGUAACACCGGCGGCUCGAGUGGUAACCGCUAUUAUUGGGUCUAAAGGGUCUGUAGCCGGCCGGAUAAGUCUUUUGGGAAAUCCAGCUGCUCAACAGUUGGGCUUUCAGAAGAUACUGUUCGGCUCGAGGCCGGGAGAGGUGAGAGGUACUUCAGGGGUAGGGGUGAAAUCUUGUAAUCCUUGAAGGACCACCAGUGGCGAAGGCGUCUCACCAGAACGGUCCUGACGGCAAGGGACGAAAGCUAGGGGCACGAACCGGAUUAGAUACCCGGGUAGUCCUAGCCGUAAACGAUACUCGCUAGGUGUCAGCCACGGUGCGACCGUGGUUGGUGCCGUAGGGAAGCCGUGAAGCGAGCCACCUGGGAAGUACGGCCGCAAGGCUGAAACUUAAAGGAAUUGGCGGGGGAGCAC